GUGCCAGCCGCCGCGGUAAUACAGAGGGUGCGAGCGUUAAUCGGAAUUACUGGGCGUAAAGCGAGUGUAGGUGGCUCAUUAAGUCACAUGUGAAAUCCCCGGGCUUAACCUGGGAACUGCAUGUGAUACUGGUGGUGCUAGAAUAUGUGAGAGGGAAGUAGAAUUCCAGGUGUAGCGGUGAAAUGCGUAGAGAUCUGGAGGAAUACCGAUGGCGAAGGCAGCUUCCUGGCAUAAUAUUGACACUGAGAUUCGAAAGCGUGGGUAGCAAACAGGAUUAGAUACCCCGGUAGUCU
rnacentral:rRNA from 1 species